ACAUGCCCACAACAUAGCGUUAAUGCACCAGAUCCCAUUAGAAAUCCACAGUUGAGCACACUCAAGAUAGAGUAGUACUGGGAUGGGUGACCGCCCGGGAAGUCCUAGUGUUUUACAUGCC
rnacentral:rRNA from 1 species